CAGACUCGGACCCUAUGGCUUCGUGCCGGUGGCCCUGGCGGCGCUGCUACUCCUGGAGGCCGGCUGCCCGGAGCCCCGGGCCCGGCUCCCCGGGCCGCACGGGGCCCCCCGGGCCGCCCGCCGCUGCCGACGGCGGCGUGCAGAUGUCCUACUCUAAUCUUGUGAAGAGUUUAACAUCUGCUUUUUCAAAUAGGUAUAGUAUGUCACGGUUCCAUCACACAACGUCAGCAGCGUGCUGUUGUAGUAAAACACGGAGUGGUGAGAAAUACACCGAUCCUUUCAAACUCGGUUGGAGAGACUUGAAAGAUCUGUAUGAAGACAUUAGAAAGGAACUAGUCAUAUCUACAACCGAACUUAAGGAAAUGUCUGAAUACUACUUCGAUGGUAAAGGAAAAGCCUUUCGACCAAUUAUUGUGGUGCUAAUGGCCCGGGCGUGUAAUAUCCAUCAUAAUAACUCCCGAGACGUGCAAGCAGACCAGCGCUCCAUAGCCUUAAUUGCAGAAAUGAUCCACACUGCUAGUCUGGUACACGACGAUGUCAUCGACGAUGCAAGUUCUCGGAGAGGAAAACACACGGUCAAUAAGAUCUGGGGUGAAAAGAAGGCUGUUCUCGCUGGUGAUCUAAUUCUUUCUGCAGCAUCUAUAGCUCUGGCACGGAUUGGAAAUACAACUGUCAUAUCUAUUUUAACCCAAGUUAUUGAAGAUUUGGUGCGUGGCGAGUUUCUUCAGCUAGGGUCAAAAGAAAAUGAGAAUGAGAGAUUCGCACACUACCUUGAAAAGACCUUCAAGAAGACUGCCAGUCUGAUAGCCAACAGUUGUAAAGCAGUCUCUGUCCUCGGAUGCCCUGAUCCAGCAGUGCAUGAGAUUGCCUAUCAAUACGGGAAAAACGUGGGAAUAGCCUUUCAGCUAAUAGACGACGUGUUGGACUUCACCUCGUGUUCUGACCGGAUGGGCAAACCAACGUCAGCAGAUCUGAAGCUUGGGUUAGCCACCGGCCCUGUCCUGUUCGCUUGCCAACAGGUAUUAUGCCCAUUCUACAAAUAAGAAAGUGAUGUGCAAACUUGGCCAAAAUUAAACAUCUGGUAAAUGGCACAGCAGACAAUUAGACGCCAACUCCUCUCAGACCAGUGUUCCUAUCACUACCCAAUGUAUUACCAGUGCCAGUGCUGACGCUGAUGCAAGCUGGCGCCUGCGGAGCUUGUCCGAUCCCCAGUGGGGCUUCCCGCAGAGCAGGUAACUGGCAUUCUCUGCACUGGCGAUGCUCAACGAAGAGCUUCUGUGUCGGCUUCCAUGAUUUGUCGUUAACCUAACCCAUUCAGUGGACUCGUUGUGAGAUGUUUGUAAUCUUUUCCACAGGUAGGGGAAUUUUGUUUGCCAAUUAAUUAGCCCUUGCAUUUUCCCAUUUGCGAACACUGAGUCUCCACCAAGACAAACAAGCUCGGGAAGCCAUUUUUCCUUUUUAACUUCACACAGCGGGUUGUCUUGUAAUUGGAAUUUGUUGGACCCAGCAACUUAGUAGAAACUCCCUCUCUCUGGAAUUCACUAUUUUUGACAUCUCCUGAAGGUUUCUUGAUAACCUUGGUACAGGGGAUUUAAGGAAAGUUUCGGCAUUUCUCAGAGGUCCCCAUGAUGACAGUGUCCUUCCAUGUAUACCUGUAUACGUAUUUUCUGUAAGAACAAAAACAUCAUGUUGAAUCUUUAAAAAGUAUAGAAGUUGGAUUUUGAGAUCUUCAGAAACAAAAUGGAAGUGGUUUUUGGUGGUUUGUGUGUGUGUGUGUGAGAGAGAGAGAGAUUACAUUAGUUCUCAAAUAAAGCUCUUUUCCUUUCUUCUGUUUCCCUUAUUUGAUAAGUCACCAGACCUAAAUGUCAGCCUGUAGCUGUACUUCCAACUGCCGUCACCAUCCCCAGCCCCUGCACCAGCUGCACAGGCUUCUGUUGGUGUUGUGACUAGCUGGUCCCUUAAGAGUUAGACAGGUUUCGUCUGAGCAAGCUCACUACAUUUAUCGAUCACCUUCGUAGUUUGGUUUAUGGACAUAUUUCACGGAAUACGAGUUGUCAUACUCUUAAAAGGUUUUCCCCGUAAAACAGCCUGGACAAACAAAAAUUUUCUUAUUGCUCACUAAAUCUGCAAGCAGGCAACUGUGGUUCCUGUUAGGUUUCUCAUUUCUCCACCUACACAGUAAGGGAACAGGGCAGUGCCUAGGGAAGAGUUUGGUAUUUGCAUAUUAAAAUUGUACACACUACUUGUUUAAAGGAUGUAGUCACACUCCAUGCAAAUAUUUUCUUCAAACUUUGCUUUCUCGAUGUUUUUUAUAGUAAAAGGAAUCAGAGAAGCCACCCAAGCAGCACAUUUUACCAUAUUUGUUGGUGUUGCAGGAAAAGCUCAUAUACCAUAAACAAGGUAAUUUACCAGAUGCCCAGGACAAUAUCAUUAUCAGCUUUGGGGGCAUAGCCUUCCAGAAAUCAGUUUUAGAGUGUGGUAUUAAGACAAAUGCCUAUUUAAUUUAGCUUUUUACCACUAAAAUUGACUGAUUUGAGCUUUCCUGAUUUUGUUUCGUGUAAAAUUUAUUCUUUUAAAAGGUCACUAACUAAAACAAAUUACUGGUUUUCAUUUAAGUGCUAACUAGUUGCUGGCCUUUACAUUUUCUAAGCAUGUGAGCAACCUCUACGUGUUUAGAACUUUGUUCUGACACAUACUUGACUCUGAAAGGAACAUUCUUAAUUCUUCCUCUGUCAUCAUCCGGUUGAGGUUUUUCUAUGUGUGCCCUAUUUUUUCUUCUAGGAUUACUAAUACCGUGGUGGUGGUUACAGGACAACAACUUCAGGCUCACUGCCAGGGAAAAACUGGCAACUGCUUUCCCAGAAAUGAAUGCUAUGAUAAUGAGACGGUUCAGUUUACCAGGAGAUGUGGACAGAGCUCAACAAUAUGUAUUACAGG